CGCGCCGUAGCUAACGCAUUAAGUGCCCCGCCUGGGGAGUACGGCCGCAAGGCUAAAACUCAAAGGAAUUGACGGGGGCCCGCACAAGCGGCGGAGCAUGCGGAUUAAUUCGAUGCAACGCGAAGAACCUUACCAAGGCUUGACAUUCACCGGACCGCCCCAGAGAUGGGGUUUCCCUUCGGGGCUGGUGGACAGGUGGUGCAUGGUUGUCGUCAGCUCGUGUCGUGAGAUGUUGGGUUAAGUCCCGCAACGAGCGCAACCCUCGUUCUAUGUUGCCAGCACGUGAUGGUGGGGACUCAUAGGAGACUGCCGGGGUCAACUCGGAGGAAGGUGGGGAUGACGUCAAAUCAUCAUGCCCCUUAUGUCUUGGGCUUCACGCAUGCUACAAUGGCCGGUACAAAGGGUUGCGAUACUGUGAGGUGGAGCUAAUCCCAAAAAGCCGGUCUCAGUUCGGAUUGAGGUCUGCAACUCGACCUCAUGAAGUCGGAGUCGCUAGUAAUCGCAGAUCAGCAACGCUGCGGUGAAUACGUUCCCGGGCCUUGUACACACCGCCCGU
rnacentral:rRNA from 1 species